AACUUUUGGCAACGGAUCACUUGGCUCUCGCAUCGAUGAAGAACGCAGCGAAAUGCGAUAAGUAAUGUGAAUUGCAGAAGUCAGUGAAUCAUCGAAUCUUUGAACGCACCUUGCACCCUUUGGCAUUCCGAAGGGUAUGCUCGUUUGAGUGUCAUUGUACUCUCAUGCUCCCGAUGCUUUUGGAUCGGGAGUGGUGGACUUGGGUGUUGCUGCUUUACUGUGGCUCACCUCAAAUGGAGUAGGGCAACUCUUGGUUGGACAUAGUACGGCGUGAUAAGUGUCUUCGCCGGCGCCUCAUUAGAGGGUGGCCGAUCGGGAGCUCUGUGCUUCAAACCGUCUUCGGACAACAUCUGACAACUUGACCUCAAAUCGAGUAGGACUACCCGCUGAACUUAAGCAUAUCAAUAAGCGGAGGCU
rnacentral:misc_RNA from 1 species